GACGGAGGGUGCUAGCGUUGUUCGGAAUCACUGGGCGUAAAGGGCGCGUAGGCGGCCUUGCAAGUCGGUUGGUGAAAGCCCGGGGCUCAACCCCGGAGGUGCGGCCGAGACUGCAGGGCUGGAGGCCGGAAGAGGAGGGUGGAAUACCCAGGUGUAGAGGUGAAAUUCGUAGAUAUUGGGUGGAACACCGGUGGCGAAAGCGGCUCUCUGGUCCGGACCUGACGCUGAGGCGCGAAAGCGUGGGGAGCAAACAGG
rnacentral:rRNA from 1 species